UCUUUCAAACCAAUUGAGGAAGGAGUUGAUGGACGAAUUAGAAGAGGAGGAAGAUUUACAUUUAGAACUAGAAUUGAUAGAAUCCACAUUAGAUAAUGUAGCAAAUGAUCAAUUUGGUGGGCUAGAAGAAAUAAUAACUUUGUAGAAUUUUAUUAAGUAGUUUUUAGAUAGGUAAAAAUUAUAUGUUUGUGAGGACACUGCAUAUAUAGAAGU
rnacentral:lncRNA from 1 species